AAUGAGAGUUUGAUCCUGGCUCAGGACGAACGCUGGCGGCGUGCCUAAUACAUGCAAGUAGAACGCUGAAGACUUUAGCUUGCUAAAGUUGGAAGAGUUGCGAACGGGUGAGUAACGCGUAGGUAACCUGCCUACUAGCGGGGGAUAACUAUUGGAAACGAUAGCUAAUACCGCAUAACAGCAUUUAACCCAUGUUAGAUGCUUGAAAGGAGCAAUUGCUUCACUAGUAGAUGGACCUGCGUUGUAUUAGCUAGUUGGUGAGGUAACGGCUCACCAAGGCGACGAUACAUAGCCGACCUGAGAGGGUGAUCGGCCACACUGGGACUGAGACACGGCCCAGACUCCUACGGGAGGCAGCAGUAGGGAAUCUUCGGCAAUGGGGGCAACCCUGACCGAGCAACGCCGCGUGAGUGAAGAAGGUUUUCGGAUCGUAAAGCUCUGUUGUAAGAGAAGAACGUGUGUGAGAGUGGAAAGUUCACACAGUGACGGUAACUUACCAGAAAGGGACGGCUAACUACGUGCCAGCAGCCGCGGUAAUACGUAGGUCCCGAGCGUUGUCCGGAUUUAUUGGGCGUAAAGCGAGCGCAGGCGGUUUAAUAAGUCUGAAGUUAAAGGCAGUGGCUUAACCAUUGUUCGCUUUGGAAACUGUUAGACUUGAGUGCAGAAGGGGAGAGUGGAAUUCCAUGUGUAGCGGUGAAAUGCGUAGAUAUAUGGAGGAACACCGGUGGCGAA
rnacentral:rRNA from 1 species